rnacentral:piRNA from 1 species
UGGUGGAUUUCUAAGAAGGAGGUUGACAAU